rnacentral:rRNA from 1 species
AACGAACGCUGGCGGCAUGCCUAACACAUGCAAGUCGAACGAGACCUUCGGGUCUAGUGGCGCACGGGUGCGUAACGCGUGGGAACCUGCCCUUAGGUUCGGAAUAACUCCCCGAAAGGGGUGCUAAUACCGGAGAAUGUCUUCGGACCAAAGAUUUAUCGCCUUUGGAUGGGCCCGCGUUGGAUUAGCUAGUUGGUAGGGUAAAAGCCUACCAAGGCGACGAUCCAUAGCUGGUCUGAGAGGAUGAUCAGCCACACUGGGACUGAGACACGGCCCAGACUCCUACGGGAGGCAGCAGUGGGGAAUAUUGGACACUGGGCGAAAGCCUGAUCCAGCAAUGCCGCGUGAGUGAUGAAGGCCUUAGGGUUGUAAAGCUCUUUUACCCGGGAUGAUAAUGACAGUACCGGGAGAAUAAGCUCCGGCUAACUCCGUG